GAUCAUUACAAGUGAGGCUACCGAACGUUGGAAACAGCGGUUAGGAGCUUACACCCACCCGUGUUUACAUACUAUUGUUGCUUUGGCGGGCCGUGGCCUCCACUGCGGGCUCUGCUCGUGUGUGCCCGCCAGAGAACCAAACUCUGAAUGUUAGUGAUGUCUGAGUACUAUCUAAUAGUUAAAACUUUCAACAACGGAUCUCUUGGUUCUGGCAUCGAUGAAGAACGCAGCGAAAUGCGAUAAGUAAUGUGAAUUGCAGAAUUCAGUGAAUCAUCGAAUCUUUGAACGCACAUUGCGCCCUGUGGUAUUCCGCAGGGCAUGCCUGUUCGAGCGUCAUUUAACCACUCACGCCUGGCGUGGUAUUGGGGCACGCGGUCUCCGCGGCCCUCAAAAUUAGUGGCGGCGCCGGUGGGCUCUAAGCGUAGUACAUACUCCCGCUAUAGAGUUCCCCCGGUGGUUCGCCAGAACCCCCAAUUUUUUUUACA
rnacentral:rRNA from 1 species